AUUGAACGCUGGCGGCAGGCCUAACACAUGCAAGUCGAGCGAGCGGCGGACGGGUGAGUAAUGUAUGGGAAACUGCCUGAUGGAGGGGGAUAACUACUGGAAACGGUAGCUAAUACCGCAUACCAUCAGAUGAACCCAUAUGGGAUUAGCUUGUUGGUGGGGUAACGGCUCACCGAGGCGACGAUCCCUAGCUGGUCUGAGAGGAUGACCAGCCACACUGGAACUGAGACACGGUCCAGACUCCUACGGGAGGCAGCAGUGGGGAAUAUUGCACAAUGGGCGCAAGCCUGAUGCAGCCAUGCCGCGUGUAUGAAGAAGGCCUUAGGGUUGUAAAGUACUUUCAGCGGGGAGGCGUUACCGGCAGAAGAAGCACCGGCUAACUCCGUGCCAGCAGCCGCGGUAAUUC
rnacentral:rRNA from 1 species